AUGUCUUGUUUUUCUAUGUGUUACAGUUUGAUUCACUACUCGUAGGGCCUUCAUUAAAUCAACGUAAAAAUUUGAUGCAUGUGUUCAAAACAAGAUGAAGAUCUAAAGUUAACGAAAUUGCAACUUUUCAUAAUACUGUGUGACCGUGGUGUGGCUUCCAGUUUGAGGAAUGAAAACAUCUAUAUCUGGCAGAUGUGCUGCAAUAUUUAGUCACUAGAUGGCAGUGUCAGACCAUGCUUUGUGUUAUCUAUGCAUUAACAGACUGUGUUUACAGGGUGGCCAACUUUAGAGGAGAAUUAAACCUUUUACAGCAUUGCUCAAACUUUGGUUUUAGUCUCAAUCGCUAAGUUCUUCCUUCAUGACAACUCUGAGGGGGGUGUAUUUUAUUUUAACUCCCUCGUUUAAGCGAUAUAGAUGUUUGAAAUUCACGUGACGUCACAGUGUAAGCUGUGCUGUGUGUUGUGAGUUCGGCUUUCACCAGUUACACGUGAACGCCUCAUGAAAUGGCUUACACCCACAUACCCGGUAAAUUACACAAUUUGAUGUUCUGCUCCUUCUCCUGACGGUCACGGUAACGAUGUCUGCGCCUCCGUUUCUGUGGAUGUCCAGCGUGAGACACAACUUGAAUCCAACCAGACUGAACACUGACUCCAGGGACGGACGAGCCUGAAGGACACAGCUGUGAUGACCAUGUUCUGUCUCUUAUGACAAAGCAGAAAUAUAAAACACUGGGUUCUUAUCUAAAGUGUAUCAAAUCAGAUCUCCACCAUGUUGCUGCUGAGGACAUCAGGUGCUGCAGUUCUUCAUCUAUGAAGAUGAAAAAACUCACUGUUAAAGAAUGUUUUGUGUUGUGUAUGAAGCACAACAGAUUUCAGAUAGAACCGUUGUACUGUGGUCUGGGUUUGUAUCCUAAUGGUUAAAUGCACAUAUUUUAAGUCGCUUUUGAUAAAAGUACUGAAAGAAAUACAACAUUGUAAAAAUAGAUAAAAUGUCUUUCUACCUCAUCUGUAAUAUUCAAGGUGAUAAUCUCCCACAGAGCUAUUGAUAACAGUCCACAUCAAGUCUCUCCACUUCCCUCGGUUUGAAAACAUAAUUAUAUAAUUAAUUUGAGAACUGUUUACAACACUGAUGUGUGGAGAUUAUAAUCAUAUCUAAACUGUCAUAUUCACUUUAAAACUCCAUGACAGGCUAAAUAAACGCGGUGGGAAUAGUAAUGGUGGAUAUACCAGCCUUCAACAGAAUAAUGGUGAAACAUAGUUACUAUCACAUGCAACUUACACGUGUAGCAUAUUGAUAUUAACUUAUUAUAAUAAAACAUAAAGUCUCAACCAAACAUACGACCCUGCAGCUAA